rnacentral:lncRNA from 1 species
AUGCCUAUGAAUGUUUGCAGCUGCCGGCUUCCAGUAACAGAUGCUGAAAAAGAAGGUGGUCUUGCCAAGGGGAUGGCUGCACCCAGAGCCUUCCAGCACAGACAACCAGGCAUGAAAGUGACAAUAACUGUAGUUCAUAUGCCAGCAGCUUCCACAGGAAGGCAUAUCUCGCUGGCCUUGGUCUCAUCAACACCAACAGCAGUACGUCUCCACUAUUUCUACCAACUUGUAUCCUUUAUGAACCAAAACACGUUAAAGGAAUAUAGAGAAUAAAUAUUUAGGUUUGCUUAGGAUCACACUGAUGUCUGCUUUUUGUGGGCUCCAGUUCCAAGCUUAGGAUUCUGAGAUGAUGAAGGUUCAAUGUGGUCCACUGCUUAAAAUAUUGGUUUUACAGCAAUGCAUAAGGAAGACAUGCUUUUCUCCUAAGAAGAAAAGUUGGCUUCUGUAAUAGUUACAAAGCCAGACAAAUUGGUAUUGAAUGCACUUAUUUGUACUUAUUUUGAGAUGUUUCCCUCCCCCCCCCUUUUUUUUUUUUGUAAUUUAUAAUGAUUAUAUAAUGAUUUCUUUCUCUUUAUAUAAAAAAAAAUGUAUGCAUGGACAAACACAUAGUUGGAUAAAUAUAUAUUUCCACACAUAUACUUCAUCCAGAACAGGCAAUUAAAUUAAAAUAAGCUAGCUCCAGGAUGAGGAAAGUUCAAGCCAGAAUGCUAUUUGACUACAGGAUAUAAACAUUUUAAAAUCAUCAUAUUUAAGGUUUUUCAACAGAUAAUAUUUCUUGGUGUUGGGAAGAGGUUUCUAACAUCCCUGACUGUACAGAUCACCUGCCUAUUGAAUAAAUGUCUCUCCACUGAAAAUUUCA